GUUCUAGUGGCAGAUUUAUGUGUUAGAUUUAAGCUCUAAUUAAGGUUUAUUACCCUAGAAUA
rnacentral:tRNA from 1 species